UUAAGCGACUAAGCGUACACGGUGGAUGCCCUGGCAGUCAGAGGCGAUGAAGGACGUGCUAAUCUGCGAUAAGCGUCGGUGAGGUGAUAUGAACCGUUAUAACCGGCGAUUUCCGAAUGGGGAAACCCAGUGUGUUUCGACACACUAUCAUUAACUGAAUCCAUAGGUUAAUGAGGCGAACCGGGGGAACUGAAACAUCUAAGUACCCCGAGGAAAAGAAAUCAACCGAGAUUCCCCCAGUAGCGGCGAGCGAACGGGGAGGAGCCCAGAGCCUGAAUCAGUGUGUGUGUUAGUGGAAGCGUCUGGAAAGGCGUGCGAUACAGGGUGACAGCCCCGUACACAAAAAUGCACAUAUUGUGAGCUCGAUGAGUAGGGCGGGACACGUGGUAUCCUGUCUGAAUAUGGGGGGACCAUCCUCCAAGGCUAAAUACUCCUGACUGACCGAUAGUGAACCAGUACCGUGAGGGAAAGGCGAAAAGAACCCCGGCGAGGGGAGUGAAAAAGAACCUGAAACCGUGUACGUACAAGCAGUGGGAGCCUCUUAAUGGGGUGACUGCGUACCUUUUGUAUAAUGGGUCAGCGACUUAUAUUCUGUAGCAAGGUUAACCGAAUAGGGGAGCCGAAGGGAAACCGAGUCUUAACUGGGCGUUAAGUUGCAGGGUAUAGACCCGAAACCCGGUGAUCUAGCCAUGGGCAGGUUGAAGGUUGGGUAACACUAACUGGAGGACCGAACCGACUAAUGUUGAAAAAUUAGCGGAUGACUUGUGGCUGGGGGUGAAAGGCCAAUCAAACCGGGAGAUAGCUGGUUCUCCCCGAAAGCUAUUUAGGUAGCGCCUCGUGAAUUCAUCUCCGGGGGUAGAGCACUGUUUCGGCAAGGGGGUCAUCCCGACUUACCAACCCGAUGCAAACUGCGAAUACCGGAGAAUGUUAUCACGGGAGACACACGGCGGGUGCUAACGUCCGUCGUGAAGAGGGAAACAACCCAGACCGCCAGCUAAGGUCCCAAAGUCAUGGUUAAGUGGGAAACGAUGUGGGAAGGCCCAGACAGCCAGGAUGUUGGCUUAGAAGCAGCCAUCAUUUAAAGAAAGCGUAAUAGCUCACUGGUCGAGUCGGCCUGCGCGGAAGAUGUAACGGGGCUAAACCAUGCACCGAAGCUGCGGCAGCGACGCUUAUGCGUUGUUGGGUAGGGGAGCGUUCUGUAAGCCUGUGAAGGUGUACUGUGAGGUAUGCUGGAGGUAUCAGAAGUGCGAAUGCUGACAUAAGUAACGAUAAAGCGGGUGAAAAGCCCGCUCGCCGGAAGACCAAGGGUUCCUGUCCAACGUUAAUCGGGGCAGGGUGAGUCGACCCCUAAGGCGAGGCCGAAAGGCGUAGUCGAUGGGAAACAGGUUAAUAUUCCUGUACUUGGUGUUACUGCGAAGGGGGGACGGAGAAGGCUAUGUUGGCCGGGCGACGGUUGUCCCGGUUUAAGCGUGUAGGCUGGUUUUCCAGGCAAAUCCGGAAAAUCAAGGCUGAGGCGUGAUGACGAGGCACUACGGUGCUGAAGCAACAAAUGCCCUGCUUCCAGGAAAAGCCUCUAAGCAUCAGGUAACAUCAAAUCGUACCCCAAACCGACACAGGUGGUCAGGUAGAGAAUACCAAGGCGCUUGAGAGAACUCGGGUGAAGGAACUAGGCAAAAUGGUGCCGUAACUUCGGGAGAAGGCACGCUGAUAUGUAGGUGAAGCGACUUGCUCGUGGAGCUGAAAUCAGUCGAAGAUACCAGCUGGCUGCAACUGUUUAUUAAAAACACAGCACUGUGCAAACACGAAAGUGGACGUAUACGGUGUGACGCCUGCCCGGUGCCGGAAGGUUAAUUGAUGGGGUUAGCGGUAACGCGAAGCUCUUGAUCGAAGCCCCGGUAAACGGCGGCCGUAACUAUAACGGUCCUAAGGUAGCGAAAUUCCUUGUCGGGUAAGUUCCGACCUGCACGAAUGGCGUAAUGAUGGCCAGGCUGUCUCCACCCGAGACUCAGUGAAAUUGAACUCGCUGUGAAGAUGCAGUGUACCCGCGGCAAGACGGAAAGACCCCGUGAACCUUUACUAUAGCUUGACACUGAACAUUGAGCCUUGAUGUGUAGGAUAGGUGGGAGGCUUUGAAGUGUGGACGCCAGUCUGCAUGGAGCCGACCUUGAAAUACCACCCUUUAAUGUUUGAUGUUCUAACGUUGGCCCCUGAUCGGGGUUGCGGACAGUGUCUGGUGGGUAGUUUGACUGGGGCGGUCUCCUCCUAAAGAGUAACGGAGGAGCACGAAGGUUGGCUAAUCCUGGUCGGACAUCAGGAGGUUAGUGCAAUGGCAUAAGCCAGCUUGACUGCGAGCGUGACGGCGCGAGCAGGUGCGAAAGCAGGUCAUAGUGAUCCGGUGGUUCUGAAUGGAAGGGCCAUCGCUCAACGGAUAAAAGGUACUCCGGGGAUAACAGGCUGAUACCGCCCAAGAGUUCAUAUCGACGGCGGUGUUUGGCACCUCGAUGUCGGCUCAUCACAUCCUGGGGCUGAAGUAGGUCCCAAGGGUAUGGCUGUUCGCCAUUUAAAGUGGUACGCGAGCUGGGUUUAGAACGUCGUGAGACAGUUCGGUCCCUAUCUGCCGUGGGCGCUGGAGAACUGAGGGGGGCUGCUCCUAGUACGAGAGGACCGGAGUGGACGCAUCACUGGUGUUCGGGUUGUCAUGCCAAUGGCACUGCCCGGUAGCUAAAUGCGGAAGAGAUAAGUGCUGAAAGCAUCUAAGCACGAAACUUGCCCCGAGAUGAGUUCUCCCUGAGACUU
rnacentral:rRNA from 1 species